UGCCAGCAGCCGCGGUAAUACGGAGGGGGCAAGCGUUGUUCGGAAUCACUGGGCGUAAAGCGCACGUAGGCGGAUCGCUAAGUCAGGGGUGAAAUCCCGAGGCUCAACCUCGGAACUGCCUUUGAUACUGGCGAUCUUUGAGUCCGGGAGAGGUGAGUGGAAUUCCGAGUGUAGAGGUGAAAUUCGUAGAUAUUCGGAGGAACACCGGUGGCGAAGGCGGCUCACUGGCUCGAUACUGACGCUGAGGUGCGAAAGCGUGGGGAGCAAACAGGAUUAGAUA
rnacentral:rRNA from 1 species